UACGGGGGGGGCAAGCGUUGUUCGGAAUUACUGGGCGUAAAGGGCUCGUAGGCGGCCAACUAAGUCAGACGUGAAAUCCCUCGGCUUAACCGGGGAACUGCGUCUGAUACUGGAUGGCUUGAGUUUGGGAGAGGGAUGCGGAAUUCCAGGUGUAGCGGUGAAAUGCGUAGAUAUCUGGAGGAACACCGGUGGCGAAGGCGGCGUUCUGGACUGCAACUGACACUGAAAAACGAAAGCCAGGGGAGCAAACGGG
rnacentral:rRNA from 1 species